rnacentral:lncRNA from 12 species
CAGGCGGGACGGGCACGUGUCCCAGCCAAUCGGCGGCUCGCUCGGCGCCGCGUGCACCGCCCCCCGCCACCUCCGCGGGAGGCCCCGCCCCUCUUUGUAAAAACUGCCUGAAACUCAAGCGUCUGACUCGUUUCUCGGGUGGGAGGUUUCGCCCGAAGUUUCAAAGUGCCGUGGAAUUUACCACCGCCCCCACCUCCUCCCCACGUCCUUUAGAGUAGCAGGAGGAUAGGAGGACGCCACCCUGAUCCAGGACCCUCCCGGGAACUCCAAAAGAACGAACGGGUCUUCAUGACUCCUGCAAGAUUUUUUUUUUUUUUUUUUUUUUUUCCCCUCUUGGAUCAGUAGGCGUGAGCCCCAACUCGAGGCCUCUGAAAGAGGGAGUCUUCCUGGCCAGGCAUCCUCGCGUGCUUGUCCUCUUGUCCCGGCACCACGGCGGCUCCCACACUCUUGAGUCCACGCGCAAAUAUCCGCACCUCGAGGGCAGCUCUCAAAUGCCUACAGCCCCAACUGAGAAUGAUGACGGCACCUGCCACACAGGUCCACACGGAAGGGUAACAAAAUGUUGGCCGAGAAGAGCUACAUCAGUGCUUUGGAGGGAAACUAUGUUACAGCGGGACCGGAGCACAUGUUCUAUCCAUCUCCAAGAGGCAUUCCAGUGCCUCGUUAAUGAUGAUUGA